GAAAAGAAAGAAGAGAGAAAGAGAGCUUGAAAGAAAGAAACUUCAGUAUAAAGAGAGAGAGGAAGAGAAAGGGAGAGGUAGAGAAGGAGUUGUAGAGAUCAUCCUGUCUUUCUCUGUUUCAAGUAAAUUCCCUUGUCUUUCUCCAAUUUUUUGGUAUAUUUUUUCAUAGAAAUGUUUGAGCACUUGAGAUAAGAGUCUAACACCCUAUCAUGGUUUUAACUUUCAUAAAAUGUUAAGAAUACGGCACGUGUACACCGUGUUAGGAUCGAAAUCCAAAUAAAGAGCAUGUCCUGUCUUUUGUCAAAACAGUCAGUUUGUAUUUUGGGCGUAUGUCCAUCAGACUAUAACAUUUUGACUUGAUUCAAGUUGCGUAUAAAAACUAUUUCAAAUAGCUACAACUUUGAUUGAAAGUGUUUUUCCUGAUUUAGAAAUUUAAUAGUCCAAAAUAGGCUUGGAAUUCAAGCUAAGAAAACCAAUAUUAUGUUUUUUAUACAAUUGGACCGGUCGAGCUUUUUCUCAACCGAUAGAAUAUUUUCGGUGAACCUACUAUUUUUUUCUAGACCGGUUGUGUUUUUUCCCAACUAGUCGAACUUUUUCCCAAAUGAUCGAGGCUUGACAGACUCAGCUUUUAGCCAACUAUUUGCCCAAUCCUGACCCAGUCCUCUGCCAGCAUACUUAUUUUUAUUAAAAAUAUUUAAAUAAAACUCAUAAACCUUACAUUUUCUUUUACUUUAAGUUUACAAUGUAAAUAAAAAAAAUACCCCUUAUUUGGAUUCAAUAAAAAAUAUAAAAAUAUAAUUCCCAUUAAAUCAAAAAGUAAAUUUUCAGUUUUAAUACAAAAAUAAUUUUCUGUAAUUUUUUUUAAAAUGAUUCUUCUUGUUAUGGAAGAUAUACCUUAUAAUAAAAAUCUCAUAAAAUCAGUUUUGACUAUUUAAGGUAUAAAAAUAUUUACCAAAAAAAUUGUUUGAAAAAAAUAAUAUUUUAAAAUUUUAUUUUUUCACAUGUAGCCAAAUUUUGACAAAAGAUAGUUUUUCAGAAAAACUUGUCACUCUCGAUACCUUACACUCCUUCUAUCCUUAGAUUCGGUGUACUAAACGAUAGUGUAAUUAAGCAAAUAGAGUAUGCAAUAAUUACUAAAUAUUAAAUUUAAAAUUUUUAAUUAUAGAACCGGAACUUGAGGGAUAAUUACAUUAGCUUAAGAGUGAGCAUGGAAAAAAAGAACGUGAGAUAAGUAUUAGGUGAGUCUUGUUAUGUUUUACUUAUUUAAAAGUAUUUUGAGAUGAAAGCAGGUGUUAAUUGAUUUGUAAAAACGUGAUAUGUUACGCUAAAAUGCAUGCUAUGUUUUGAUUGUGCUAUGAAUUAUGAAAAAUGAUUACUUUAAAAAGUAUAUUUUAGAUGACACAUAGUUCGAACGGUAUCCUGACCACUAGAGAAAAAAAAAUAUAGCGAGAAGUGAUGUAAUAAGGGUGGGAUUAUAACCAGAUGAUUAUGGAUGAUAUCAUGUCAUAUAUAAUAUAUUAGGAUCGCUCCUUAAUGACUAGGGGAUCGUUGAACGAGUGUAUAUGUGUUACAAGAGUCAAUCAAAUAUGAUUUUGAAAUCUUGAUCUGAAAUUAAAAUAAAUGAUUGAAAUAAAAAAGAAUUGACAAAAGUAAAGUUAUUUAAUCAAGGAUAUUUGGCCUGAUGAGCCAAGGAUUUUGAUUAUAAGAUCGGCCUAGAUGAGCCAAAAUUUUGAAAAGUAAUUUCAUGUUAAAAUAAAUUGAUGUUUUAUAAUUGCAUGGACACUUGUUAGUAUUGUAUAACUUGACUCAUACUAGCCUAGUACUUAAAACAUAGUUAUAUGUAACAAUUUCAGGUAAUGAGAAUGAGGUGGAGUGAGACUGAAGGCAAGCGACCUUAGUCGAUUUUUAUUGACUUAUGUCAUACACUUAGCAUAUGAAUGUUAGUUCUUUUGAACUUUUAUAGUUUUGUUGACGGUUGUGCUAGAUAUUAUGGUAAGAACCGUAAUUAUAAAUAUUUAUAUACAUGAAGGAUGUAAUGAUAUUGUAUACUUUUCUAUAUAUGUCAACUCUGAUUAAUUUAUUACACGUCUAUAUAUAUAUAUAUAUAUAUAUAAUUGCAUUCAAAUAGUAUCAUCUUGAAUGAAAAGGAAAAUCCCUAAAGUAGUUAAGUAAUAGACCUUAGUGAGUGAUUCUCAUUGGCCGGUCACAAUAACACUUGUGAUGAGGGUGGACCCGCAUGUGUAAAUGGGUCGGGUCAUGACAAAUAGAGUGUGGGCUCUAAUAUGUGAUCUAAUUCACUCUCUCUGUACAAAAUCAUAUUAAUAUACAUAUAUAUAUAUUCAUAAUAUCUGAGUGUGUAACCUUAGAGAGUUGCGGAUGCACACAUAAAUAUAGGCUAUGGUAGAAAGCUCAAGGAGUCAAUAAGGAUUAGACUUCCUAUUAAAAUAUGAAAAUCUAAUGCAACCUGAAUUAAAUUCUUAUUUUUCAUAAAUUAUAAUUCAUCCUACUAAAGAAUUAAAAUUGUACUCCUUCCCUUAUCUCAAAAUUAUAUUUCAAACUUCAUGUGAUUAAAUGCUUAUUAAUCUCUCUGCAUUAAGAUUAUACAUACCAGUAGAUUAAAAUAAUUAUUAAAAAUUAUAAUUAAUCAAAAUCUUCAAAAAUUUCUGAGACUUUUCACUUAACUGAUUUGAUAUGUCGAAUCUAAAAUUCACAUGUAGGAUUUGAUAUAACCAAAACUUAUAAACUCCUCAAGGACAUAUCAAUCCCUAAAUUAACGUGAAUUUUGUUCAUAAUUAAUAUUCACCCUACACAUAAUGUGACCAUCCGAUUCACUAAGGCUAUGUUUGUUUGGAUGGAAUGAUUAUUCCAUUGGAGUAAUCAUUUCAGUGUUCGGUUAAUCAAAAAAUAAUGGAAUGACGGAAUAGUCAUUCCAUUUAGAAUAAUCAGUCACUAAAAUACAAGAAUGACCAUUACCUUGUGUUAAUAAAAAAAUGCAUAUUCCAUUCUUAUUCUUUACAUAAUGAGAAUGACUAUACCUACAUUAUUCCAUUCUAAUUUCCAUUCCAUUCAUUACAAAAUUCAUUCCAACUAACCAAACUCAACCUAAGUUUAUUCCAAAAAAAAUCGCACUCCAUGUGAAUAAAAAUGAUCAACAUUAAAUGCACUUAUAUAAUAACUAUUUCAGAAUUAAGAGCAUAAGGACCCAUAAUAACCAUGGGGUACUAGAUAUCUUAUAAAAUCAGUAUAAAAAUAACAUCCCUAAAAUGAUCUCGUUCAAUACACAUAAAGUGUACUAGCACAAUGAGCUAAAACUAUACCAUUUUCUAUAGAAAAGACAAACUUACUAAAACAUUGUGCUACAGUCUUACCAGUGGUAUGUCUAAUUCCAUCUAAGAUUGAGAACUAAAAACUUAUAUUUUACAAGAAUCAAUUAUUAUAUCUUCCGGGCGUAAGCCAACUAUACACACCUAAUUAACGAUUAUGUAAAAUAAAAGACACAACCACAAUAUAAAUAUUAUAUUACAAACAUUGCCCACAUAAUUUUUCAUUAAAAUAGAAUAACAAAAUUUAUUAAUAAAUAAAAUUAUACUAAGUUCCGUAAUAAAAAUGGCUUUUAGUAUAUAUAUAUAUAUCCAACAAAGCUCACGCGUGAUUGACACUACAACUGCCGCGAACAUCUCUACGAGCCCCAUCUUCAACUUUCACUCUCUAUAGCUCGCUCGCUUCGAAGGCUCACAGAUCAAUAUCAAUCUACCUCUAUAGUCUCUCUGCUUGGCUCCUGUAACGUGGUGUUGGGCAUAUAUAACUUGCACCUAGACAUGCGUUGUUGCUCCAGUUUCAACCAGUUGAAUUUAAUCAGUACGUCCAUGGAGGUAGUUCAACUAUUGAACACUUUUGUAGUGUUCCAGGAAAAGAGCAAUAUGACACUUUUAAACUGUAGAGUUUAUGAGCCAUGCACAUUGGUCUUAGGCAUAUGCAACUCGGACCAAAGGCAUAUUCGACGCUCACCCAGGGGCACACAUGAUUGCACCCUAUGUCUGACUUGCACCCCUCUAACCAUUAAAUUAUAUUUGUUUAACUAAUUAUGUUAUGCUCAAAAAUUUUAGUACUAUUAGGCAUUUGAACCCUCAUAUAAAGUUAUAGGCUUUGAAGUGACCAACACGCUAGAAGUUGAAAAUGAAUGCAAAAGCUGAUCAUGUUGAAAAGGCCCUCUGCUAUUGGGGACCUAAGUUCGGAUGCUAUUGGUCAUGUGAACCCUUAUAUGGGAUUGUGGGAUUGUAGAACUUAACUUAGGAUUUUGGCCCAUAUGAGUUGAGUUGGUCUUAGACAUAUCCAAGUUGCAUAACAUGCAUAUUCGACUUGGACUCGGGGAACACAUGAGUUGCAUCCUAGGUAUCCCAAACUUGUACCUCGUAACUAUUAAAUUGUGUUUGUUGGACUAAUUAUGUUAUACACCCAAAGUUUUAGUACUAUUGAUCAUGUGAAUUCUUACAUACGUGAAGAGAGAGAGAAAGAGUGAAAGUCGAAGACGGGGACCGCAGAGGUUUUCGCAGUGAGGCCAACGACGCUAUAGAGUCAAUCAUGCAUUAGAGAGAGAGAAAAGAAGUCUAACAUGAAAGGUGGCUAGGGUACGGACGAAUGAAGAAGAAGUAAAAGGUGCAAGUUCUACCGCCCCAGUUUUUAUGUACAUUUCAAAAUGACGUCGUUUAAGUGGGUCAGGGAUAAAAUCAUCCAACUCAUCAUGAAUUUGUUAUUAUUUACAAUUUACCACCUCCAACGAUAUUAUUUUCGAUUAGACCACUAAAUUGAUAUUAAACCUUCUUCCUUCUUCAUACCACUAAUCUAAAAAUUUUCCUAUUUAAUAUAUGUGGGUAUGUAUAGACUAUUUAGUAUAGUAGGUGGUCAUAAAUUAUCUUGUAUCUUGUUUAUCAUGUUGAAUAUUAUAUAAUUGGUAAAUGAAUUACUUUUUCUUUUAUAAUUAUUUUUUAGUGUAUUUUAUUUUAUUUUUUCAUAUUGAGAUUUGUUAGUUAAAUUCCUUUUAAAAAGCUUAAGCUGUUAUGAAAUUGACUCAAUAAUGUAUAUCAAGAUAUUUUGCCUUAUACAUGGAGAAAUAAACAUAUCUAAUUCAAUAAGAUAUGUCGUCACAAAAGAAUUUAAUGCUCAAAUAAAAUAAAUAAGUACGAAAAAACAUGACCUAAUGAAAAUAGAAUUUGUAACUUUAUAAAAAAUACAACUCUUCUACUUGAAUUCUCGUUCUACUCUAAUUUCACAAACGUAACUACUUGUUUUUUCAUUAUAAUCUAAGUACGAUUGGUCACUAACUUUGUUGUCAUGGGUUUGAAAUUAAUUUCUAUUGUGCAAAUGUACAUCUUAUUUAAUUCAUAAUUAAGUGAUAUGUGAUUGGUCACCAACUUUGAUGUCAUGAGUUAAAAAUUUCUUUUUACGAUUCAUCCAAUUACAAUGACCAAGAUUUUCUGUAACGACUCAUUCUAUUUUUCUCUCUAUCAUAAUGAGCCGUUAAUAAUCGUCAAUCGUUUAUAUACAAAUAAUAGUGCUAUUUUUUCUCAAACUUAAAUUAGUCUCCAAAUAUUUAUUUAUACAAUGUCUCCUAACAAAUUUAAUACAAAACUAUCAAAAGUUUUCAAAUUUUUUAUCUGACUCAUCUCGUACUACCCGAUUCUCACGUUAGCCUGAAAAAUUAUUUUAAGCAAGGAAGUGUAUAAUACAAUAGGAAUAUGCUCAAUUCAAUUUACAGCUCAACAACAAAUCUAGAAGAGUUCAACGAAUCAUCAAAUCGUGAAGGAUAUUUUAAAAAAUACUUCGGAAUUUAAAAAAUAUAUUAUAUACUGCUACUUAUCUCAAAUUAAAAUCGACAUCAUUAGAUAUGUUUCUAUGUCCGUCAUAAACAACAUACUAAAAUUUUAUCUCGAUCGGAUAUCAUUUCACCGUUAAUUCUAUGUUUUGUUUCUCAUGAUCAUAUUUGAUUACACCA
rnacentral:lncRNA from 1 species